UGGCUCUCGCAUCGAUGAAGAACGCAGCGAAAUGCGAUAAGUAAUGUGAAUUGCAGAAUUCAGUGAAUCAUCGAAUCUUUGAACGCACCUUGCGCCCUCUGGUAUUCCGGAGGGCAUGCCCGUUCGAGUGUCUUGACAUCAUCGCUCCCCUUGGGUUUUGCUCCGAGGGGACGCGGAUUUGGGGGUCUUUGCUGCGGAGACGCGGCUCCCCUUGAAUGCAUCGGUCGUGCUCGAAGGCUCGCCUUGACGUUGUAAUUUCCCUCGUCUCGGAAGCCCUUCAAACCGACCUCGGCCUGCCUCUGGAGUGGCGGCCAAUUCUUCUUGACAUCUGACCUCGAAUCGGGUAGGACUACCCGCUGA
rnacentral:misc_RNA from 1 species